rnacentral:misc_RNA from 1 species
ACAUUGUUCGCUGAAAAUUCACUAGAAUCAGAUGUGAUAUUGGAAAAAGUGAUUGAGCUCGGAAGCGACUAUCUACGUGGAGGAUGGGCGCUUGUGGAGAAGAGUGAGGUCACAGUGACACAGAUAACCGGUGGCCAAUCCAACAUUCUCUACUUGGCAACCUCAGCUUCUACCAAAUUAUCUCCGGAUACCCCUUCCUGCUUCCUCAUCAGAAUUCAUCGUCAGGCUCCAUCCCAAGUGUUCACAGAGACAGUGGUGUUCUCGGUUUUGUCUGAACGUGGUCUAGGCCCUAAGCUCUAUGGAUUCUUCCCUGGAGGUCGCCUCGAAGAGUUCUUGCCAAGCAGAACGCUUGACGUCGAUUCUAUUAAACUUCCAGAAAUUGCCCGACAAGUUGGCUCACUCUACCCGAAAUACCAUGAUAUUGAAGUUCCGAUCUCAAAAAGCGCUGGAGCCCUCAAGUUUAUCAAGGAGAACUUGGAAGGAUACAAAGCACUCGGCGGAAAAGUUCUCAAAAUGUGCCCACACUCUGUGAAGUAUGAUAGCAUGCCGAGUGAGCUCACCGUGGAGCAAAUCGAACAGGAAAUUGCUACUUUUGAGAGAUGGUGCAAAGUUUUCGAUGAGACGAUUGUUUUCAGUCAUAACGAUUUGGCGCCACUGAACGUUCUCGAGCUGAACGACACCAAGGAAAUUGUGUUUAUAGAUUUUGAGUAUUCUUCUUACAAUUGGAGAGGUUUUGACUUGUGCAUGUUCCUAUGCGAAAACGCCUUUGACUAUCGGGAUCCAACUCCGCCAGGUCUCGUCAUUGAUCAGGAUUAUAUGGAAAAUCAUCCGAACCUCCAGAUCUUUUGUGAAGCAUACAUUGAUACGCAGUACAAGAUGAAAACCGCUAACCCGAAGCAAAAAUUCCCACUGACUGAAGGGCGUGCCGCUGAAGUGGAGUCUCUCAUGUUGGAGUGCAAAUUUUUCAUUCCACUGGUCAAUAUGUUCUGGGCAGUAUGGUCACUUAGGCAACAUUUGGCAAAAUACGAAAUCGGGAUGGAUUUGGAUGUUAUCGCCAGUGACCGCUUUUCCAUGUACUUCCACUUGAAAGAGCAGUCGAGAGCUAUUUAUGAGCAGUUCAAGAAAUAAAACGUUGCUAAUUCAUUCAUCUCAUUUUAGAUCUUCCCAUCAUUCCUGUUUGAAUUUUUUCUAAUUUUUGAUUUCUGAAUAAAUUUAUUUUUAAAAUUUCAA